rnacentral:lncRNA from 1 species
CUCCUGCCUUCGCUCUCUGCUGGUCGCGGUGGCCUGUAGCUCCUCCCUCGGUAGGACCCCCCUCCACCUUGGCGCUUACGAGAUGAAUGAGGAGCCCAGACCUCUGGAACUUGGAGGGGUGAGAGGGGGACAAGCCAGAGCCAGGGCUCCACACCCUCUUCCCCUCACCCACCCAUGCCCUGCAUUCCUUCUGUGCCCCGUCUCCCCAGAUCGGGCCACCCCAUGUGCUCUGGUACGGCAACUCUUGCAGAGAGGUUUCCUCCUGCCCUGCCACGUUGCGCCUGAGCAGAAGGGGACAGCAAGGAGAAGCCUCGCUGGUGGAGGGAAAAUAAAAGAAGCAAAAACAGGCCCUGCUGUGAGGGACCACGAGGCAGUGCCAGGAUGAAAGAGUUGGAGUAACCUAGGUGAUUCUGAGUGAAUCAGUCAGGAGGCCUUCCUGGAGGGGACCAUUGCAGGUACUGUGCCUUCUGCCUGAAAUGUGCUCACCUCGCCUC